rnacentral:rRNA from 1 species
GGCGGCAGGCCUAACACAUGCAAGUCGAGCGGUAGAGAGAAGCUUGCUUCUCUUGAGAGCGGCGGACGGGUGAGUAAUGCCUAGGAAUCUGCCUGGUAGUGGGGGAUAACGCUCGGAAACGGACGCUAAUACCGCAUACGUCCUACGGGAGAAAGCAGGGGACCUUCGGGCCUUGCGCUAUCAGAUGAGCCUAGGUCGGAUUAGCUAGUUGGUGAGGUAAUGGCUCACCAAGGCGACGAUCCGUAACUGGUCUGAGAGGAUGAUCAGUCACACUGGAACUGAGACACGGUCCAGACUCCUACGGGAGGCAGCAGUGGGGAAUAUUGGACAAUGGGCGAAAGCCUGAUCCAGCCAUGCCGCGUGUGUGAAGAAGGUCUUCGGACUGUAAAGCACUUUAAGUUGGGAGGAAGGGCAGUAAAUUAAUACUUUGCUGUUUUGACGUUACCGACAGAAUAAGCACCGGCUAACUCUGUGCCAGCAGCCGCGGUAAUACAGAGGGUGCAAGCGUUAAUCGGAAUUACUGGGCGUAAAGCGCGCGUAGGUGGUUCGUUAAGUUGGAUGU